rnacentral:piRNA from 1 species
UGUAGAGAUAAAGCUGAGGAGGAGGC